rnacentral:misc_RNA from 1 species
AAAGUGCGAUAUGUAGUGCGAUUUGCAUGAAUCUGUGAGUCAUCUAAUCUUUGAACGCAACUUGCGCCUCUCUGAGGCAUGUCUGUUUGAGUGCCGCAUACCUUUAUGCAGCAAUGCGAUUUGACAUUUGUCCCCGGACUAUGUUUAAACGUAGCCAGAAAGUUGCCAGCAAGGCACUAGCUCGAGUGCUAAGCAUUCUUGAGUCUAGUCCAAGCAGGCAAUUAUAGCUCAAUUAUUAUUUUGGGCCUCAAAUCAGGCAAGACUACCCGCUGAACUUAA